GGUUGCGAUCAUACCAGCACUAAUGCACCGGAUCCCAUCAGAACUCCGCAGUUAAGCGUGCUUGGGCGAGAGUAGUACUAGGAUGGGUGACCCCCCUGGGAAGUCCUCGUGUUGCAACCC
rnacentral:rRNA from 1 species